GGGUCCAGCCGCGCUCUCCUACAGUGGCUGGACGCGCUGGGCGCUGGGUGCGGCCAUGCGGGGCCUGGGCCUAAGUCUGACCCUGACCCUGAGGCUGAGACCUAGCGCGACCUCAGGCGCCGUACGGCUCCCCCGGCAGAGGCGGCGGGCGCGAGGCGCGCUCUGAAAUCCGGGGGAUGCGCGGGCGCCGUGACCAUGGGUGCCGCCGCCUCCAGGAGGAGGGCGCUGAGGAGCGAGGCCAUGUCCUCGGUAGCGGCCAAAGUAAGAGCAGCCCGAGCGUUUGGAGAGUACCUGUCCCAGAGUCACCCUGAGAACCGCAACGGUGCAGACCACCUGCUGGCUGACGCCUACUCUGGCCACGACGGGUCCCCAGAGAUGCAACCUGCACCCCAGAACAAGCGCCGCCUCUCCCUCGUCUCCAAUGGCCGAUAUGAGGGCAGCAUCUCAGAUGAGGCAGUCAGCGGGAAGCCGGCUAUAGAGGGCCCCCAGCCCCACGUGUACACCAUCUCUAGAGAGCCCGCCCUGCUACCUGGCUCUGAAGCUGAAGCCAUUGAGCUAGCAGUGGUAAAAGGGAGGAGACAGCGGGAACGGCACCCUCACCACCACAGCCAGCCCCUGCGUGCCAGCCCAGGCAGCAGCCGGGAGGACAUCAGCAGGCCCUGCCAAAGCUGGGCAGGAAGCCGCCAGGGCUCCAAAGAGUGCCCAGGAUGUGCCCAGCUGGUCCCUGGUCCCUCUUCUCGGGCCUUUGGGCUGGAGCAGCCACCUCUACCUGAGGCUCCUGGCCGCCACAAGAAGCUGGAAAGGAUGUAUAGCGUUGAUGGAGUGUCUGAUGAUGUCCCCAUCCGUACCUGGUUCCCCAAGGAAAACCUUUUCAGCUUCCAGACGGCAACCACAACUAUGCAAGCGACAUGCCUUUGAAGCAGAGUCCCUCACCAGAAUAGUCCUCCCCCGGCCGCAACUGCGAUGGCAAAAGUGCACAGGGCACAGGCAAGCUUCUGUAGGACCAAACCCCAACCUUGCCUGGCUAAAACUCAGCACCUAGUAGUAUGGGCCAGUGCCUCAGCCUCGGUGCCCUUGAGUCCAGUGGACAUCCCGAUGGGAGGAAACUACCUCCAGGGGAUCUGGGGGGCUAAAGGAAGACAGAGAUCCACACUCACGGUGUCCUCUUUCUCUUGCUGCCUCUUGACACUGUGGCUUCAGCAUCUCGGUAUUCAGGGGCUACGCGGAGAGGAAGCGUCGGAAACGGGAGAAUGAUUCCGCGUCUGUAAUCCAGAGGAACUUCCGCAAACACCUGCGCAUGGUUGGCAGUCGGCGGGUGAAGGCCCAGACGUUCGCUGAGCGUCGCGAACGGAGCUUCAGCCGGUCCUGGAGCGACCCCACCCCUAUGAAAGCCGACACUUCCCACGACUCCCGAGACAGCAGUGACCUACAGAGCUCACACUGCACCCUGGAUGAGGCUUGUGAGGACCUGGACUGGGACACAGAGAAAGGUCUGGAGGCCAUGGCCUGCAACACCGAGGGCUUCUUGCCACCCAAGGUCAUGCUCAUCUCCUCCAAGGUGCCAAAGGCCGAGUAUAUCCCUACUAUCAUCCGCAGAGAUGACCCGUCCAUCAUUCCCAUCCUCUACGACCACGAGCAUGCAACCUUCGAGGACAUCCUGGAGGAAAUAGAGAAGAAAUUGAACAUCUAUCACAAGGGGGCCAAGAUCUGGAAGAUGCUGAUUUUCUGCCAGGGCGGCCCUGGACACCUUUAUUUGCUCAAGAACAAGGUGGCCACCUUUGCCAAAGUGGAGAAGGAAGAGGACAUGAUCCACUUCUGGAAGAGGCUGAGCCGCCUGAUGAGCAAGGUGAACCCCGAGCCGAAUGUCAUCCACAUCAUGGGCUGCUACAUUCUGGGGAACCCUAACGGGGAGAAGCUAUUCCAGAACCUCAGGACCCUCAUGACCCCUUACAAGGUUACCUUUGAGUCGCCUCUCGAGCUGUCUGCCCAAGGGAAGCAGAUGAUUGAGACCUACUUUGACUUCCGGCUGUACCGCCUGUGGAAGAGCCGCCAGCACUCAAAGCUGCUGGACUUUGAUGACGUCCUGUGAGAAGCAUGGGUCAUGCCCAGGAACCACCAGGCCAUUUCCUCUGGGCUGGGGACCUAGAGCUGGGCUGCCUCUUGCACCCGGGACAGUGUGGCCCUGCUCUUGCCCACAGCCACUUCAGGGACCCUCAGACGUUGCUCAGGUUCUCGUAGGGUCUGGUCCUCACUGCACCAGUGGGCCACAGAGGCCACACUCCUGGUGGUCCAGAUUAACAAUCUCAGCCCAUGACCAGUGGCCUCUCAAUGGCCAGGGCAUUGACCUGUCAUGCCUCGCCUGGAGGCAGCAGCAUUGGGGAUCCCCUCCAUGGGGUUCAUAGAAAUAAGUGCAAUUUUUUUACACCCCUGAAACAAUUUGAAGGGAAGCAGCAUUACUAAUUAACUAGUUAAGCACUCUGCUACUAGUUACAGUGUAGACAACCAGCCCAGUGUGUGUUCAGGUCCUCCUGUCCCCCAGCCUCUCAGCCCUGCUGUAUUUGAUCACCAGCACCAGGAUGGCCCAUAAGUGUGGGGCUAGCUCUGUCAGGCUGCCUAGCCUGGCCCAGUCUACACUGGCCAAAUCUGGCCUGCUUUCACCCUUUUGUCACCCCUGGCUUACUUUGACCUCAUCCUGGCAAGGGGUAGGCUGGGCAGUUAGGAGGGAAGAGCCUCACUCACCCUCCCUCUUGUCAGGGGAGCACUGGGUUGCCAUCUGUUGCCCACCUCCUCAAGCCAACCCAUUUCCCUUUGCUGCUGCUGAACUCGGCUUUUUCUAGCCUUGGUCUGGAAGCCACAUCCCAGCACAGUGGCUUAGGGGUGUGGUGGGGACAGCCGGGGCUGGGCCUGGGAAGGCAAGAACCUCACCAGCAUUGUGGUGGGGGGCCUAGAUCUGUCACCCCAGGCUGGAGAGUCAAGUAGCUGGUGAACUGUGAGGUCCCCAUGACUCCCUUCAGUCUUGUCCAGGGUCUAGCAGGGUGGGCUCUCUUGUACAUAGUUGGAGCUUGGGGGCAGGCCCCCCUUUUGUAGAGCCUGGGGUCUGGGGACACCUGGCCGUGUCCCUGACCCAGGGGAGUUAGGAUUGGGCACUGAACAAUGUACGAUAUCCCUUAGAGUGACCAUUAAACUUGACCCUCUGCUGCA